rnacentral:rRNA from 1 species
CUACGGGUGGCUGCAGUAAGGAAUAUUGGGCAAUGGACGAAAGUCUGACCCAGCCAUGCCGCGUGCAGGAUGACAGCCCUACGGGUUGUAAACUGCUUUUAUACAGGAAAAAUUCUCCCUACGUGUAGGGAGUCGAUGGUACUGUAUGAAUAAGCACCGGCUAACUCCGUGCCAGCAGCCGCGGUGAAUACGGAGGGUGCAAGCGUUAUCCGGAUUUAUUGGGUUUAAAGGGUGCGCAGGCGGAAUGAUAAGUCAGUGGUGAAAUCCUACGGCUCAACCGUAGAAUUGCCAUUGAUACUGUUGUUCUUGAGUACAGUUGUAGUGGGCGGAAUAUGUCAUGUAGCGGUGAAAUGCAUAGAUAUGACAUAGAACACCGAUCGCGAAGGCAGCUCACUAAGCUGAAACUGACGCUGAGGCACGAAAGCGUGGGGAGCAAACAGGAUUAGAUACCCCUGUAGUC